UAUUUAUUUAUUUAUUUUUAUUCUGAGACAAGGUCUUGCUCUGUUGCCUGGCCUGAAGUGCAGUGGCAUGAUCAUGGCUCACUGCAGCCUCAACCUCCCAGGCACAAGUGAUCCUCCCACCUCAACUUCCAGAAUAUAGAAGCUGGAACUACAGUGACCUACAUCCAAAGUGAAAAGUUAUUCAGCCUCUGAAGAGAAGCAUUUUGUUUGGGGAUCUUCAAGUAUGCUUGUCAGCACCGAGAACUGGAAAAAAAUCUCUGAUUGUCCUGCAGCAAUGGCAUUAAAGGCUCCUCAUAACAUACAGAACCAGAAUUGUGCCAUAAUUUACUGAAAUUGAACAUUGCUCUGUGACUGCUAAUUUUCCAUCGAGAUGAUUCUGUCUCUAACCAAGAAAAGAAAAGUUUGUCUUCCUGACUGCUGACACUGCUGACCAAGCCCACCACCAGAUGCCUGGCUGCACACCCAGAGGGCAGCCGCUUCCCGUGGUCCUCUCGAAGAACUUCCCUUUUGCAAUGCAUGUUUAGCAAGUGGAUGAGUUUGUCUUUUCUGAUUUCUCUGCAAGCUCUGCAUUGCCCACCUGAACCAGUGCUUCAGAAGAACUAAUGGGAUCUCUGACCCUCCAACAUCCUCUUCCAGACUUUCACUUUCCUGGCUCCUUGCAGGGACAUGUAAUAAACGUGCUCUCCAGA
rnacentral:lncRNA from 10 species